CUUUAUAAUAUUAUUAUAUAUUCAAGGUUCUCUAAAAAAAUAACAUGGCUGUUUAUUCUAAUUGUAUGACAUUAUGAAAUCAGCACCGAAAAUCGUCCAUUCUUAUUAGGAAUUUAAUUGUUAAUUUUGAUAUAAAUAAAAAAUAAAAAUUAUUAAUGCAUGCAAUAAAAUUAAAUUGAUAUUUUUUCCUAAUUGUAUCAUAAGUGUAAAUUAAAUUACGUUUCUAACAUUAUUCGAGAAUUCAUUGUUAUAUAAUUGAUUUGCGAAUGUUUUUUUAUAUAUUUGUAAUUUAAUAUUAGUAGUAAGGUAUGUGAAAUAGUGAUUUUUAACGCAAUAAUUAUGGUUUUUGUGUUUGAUAUAUUAGCUAACUCCUUUAAGCGUACCCAGAUUAUCCUACCCGAUAUCAUGACACGUAAAAUGAAUAAAUUAUUGAUAAUACGGGUUAGAUAACGAUAACGGUAUCGGGAACGAUACCGAUAACGUUAUUUAUACCGGUUAAAUACUUCAUACAGUUUCAAGUCUCGACAUCGGUUCGGAUAAUGUGGAAACGUUUCAGAGCGGUACGGAACUCGAUUUUGUCCCGGUGCUUUUUUAUAACCUAAUGGUAGCCAUAUUCUAGUGUGAGAGAAAAGCCAUCAAACCCAUUAUUAGGUACAAGGGUAUAGUUACUAAUUAAAUUCCAAUCUCGGAUCGUACAAUGUUUAGGCUGAGCGUUUUUCGAUAUGCGUAGGUAUUUUUAAUGAAGUUAUUUAAUCUUGUAAUGAUAAAAACGAAAACAUUCUAGAAUAAGAAUUUAUUUUACAUGUUAAAAUCUUAUUUUAAUUAAAUUACGUAUCCACUGCUGCGCAAUAGCCCUGCUGAUAUGAUAACGUUGUGCAAUUAAUGUACAGUACCGUAGUUUGAGGUGGGUUGUAGCCCCCCUUUUUAGACUCAAUCAUUUAUCUGUGAAAUACGGUAGUGGAACUUCGAGAGACGCUCAGUUGAAAUAUCUGCAGUUUUUUAUGUCAUUCAUAUAUUUCACAAUUCAAUUUUUAAAACCUUAUCCUUACGUGCUAAAAUAGUCGAGUUCUGUGUUACUUCCCAAGUUUUUAGUUUGCUUGUAAACAAAGUACAAAUCAGUAAAUAGUAUGGCAGUGGUUAAUGAACAAAAAUACUUUUAAUAUAAUAUUUGUUUAUUAUAGUGUAAGAUUUCUCUUAUGCCGUGCACGCAUCUUUGAAAUUGCAGUAUAACUAAUAUAAAUAGAAGACUAUUUUUUAGAAAAACAUAUUUGCGUAUAUUGUUUUGCGUGGUUUCCAUACUCCAUUUUACGACGAUCAUGUUGGAAACAAUUUUUUUUCCAUUAAUAGGAAUAGGUCACCCUGUCGAAACUUCGCAAAUACGUAAUAAAGAAGCUGAGAUCAAUAGCGUAUGCUAUGACUUUACUUAAAGCGAGACAGAUUUAUGUCAGAACUCAGAACUUAACUAAGCAAAGUCAAAGUGAACUCAAUAGCUCUCAGGCUGAGAUCUAUAAAGUGCACUUUAACUCGGCUUAGACUUAAGACACUCUUGAAACGAGGCAGCAUGAUACCGCUGGCAUAAAUCUGUCUCGUUUAACUGAAACUCACUUAACGCUUUGUCGUAUGUAUAAAGUUAGUUCACUAUUUGUACAUGUUAUACUGCCGGACAAAAUGGCUGCUCUCCAAAUGUUUCUUACCUCUAUUUAGUAACGAAUGUUUGGGAAACACUCGAGUUUUACACAUAUUAACUAACAAUAGCUACCCACCUACAUCACUGCCUUGUUGACCCCCUGUAUUUCACCCGCGGCUAAAGAAGCUAAGCUAGUAAUUACUUAGUUUGAUUUGCUUUACAAUGAUAUUUUUUAUACUUUUAUUUCCGCGAGUGCAGUGUCACAAAAUAGAGAGGUCAGUGAACGAAAAAUCAUGGAAACCGCGUUUCUAACGAUUGCCAUUCAAAAAUAGGGGCCACAAACUCACGUUUUAAAUACGUAACUUCAACCAAAGCCUCUUGAAUCAUGAUUGGUUCGCAAUGUGUCAUGCGAAAUGAACCGCUGUCGUGAUUGGCCGAUUCAGAGUGACAGUUAGGGAGCUAGAAUCGAACUGAAAAUGCGUUCGGUGGAGUAUAUAAAUAUGCACCACUCACCACCUUAGAUUUUGUUAUCUAUAAUGGAGCGUACGGAAUAUUUCUAUGCUUGGUCGUUCACUGAGAUAGCUACAAUUCGCGUGAUUUUACUUGGUCGACCCGAAUAAUAAACUAGUGCUUAACAAACGAUUGAGAAAUCGAUAUCGAGCAUCCUUAGAGAUUCAGCUAGUCGAGAUUAAUUUCUGGCCGGUCAAUUGAGAUCGCUCACAAGGUCCGUUCAAUACUACGCGCGAUAAAAGGCGUACUCACAAAUGAAAUGGUGCGACAACAAAGUUGACUAAAAGCCAGCUAAAUGUCGGCUCCGUUGAGUAGGCUGAGCUCCAAGUCGCAGAUGUGUGAGUGCGCCUCAACUCGGCCGAUUAUUUUUUUAAAUGUCGGCUGAGUUGAGUUGGCUGAGUUCCAAGUCUCAGAUGUGUGAGUUCGCCUGUUAUGCAACUUUUUAUGGAGUGUAAAAAGAGGUAGCUAAACUAAAUAAAUAGCACCGCCUAACUUCUUUAGCCAUGAUAUUGCAAACACGCCUUGAGUGUAAGUUUUUGAAUUAUCUCGUCAUUGAAAUGUGUUGAUCUGCCGAUUUGUAUUGAUGGCAAGAUUUUGCCAUCCAUACAAAUCGCCAAAGUUCAGAUUUUUGAUGUACUGAUCAUCCACAAAGAACAACAUUUUACUACGACCCAACAUUUUCGAUCCAACGUUUAUCAUCAUCGCAAUAUAUAGGGAUGUUGUAUUGACAUAAUUUCGUUCCAGUGACAAGUUUAGUGUAUAUCUAUAAAAAAUUACACUCUAGGCUUUGCAAUAUCAGUUAAAUAGUCAUUAUUAGGUACAUGAAGGUUGUAAAUUAUAAAAAUUAUUAUCGACACCAAUUUAUGAAAUAAAUCUAAUUUUAUGGAAUUUAAUCGCAGUGUAUUGUUUUUGUCUAUCCCGUAUUUUACUAGAAAUUGUGUUAAUUUUAACUUAAUCCGUAAUUGUCCAAGAUCCUGGGGCCGCCAGAGGUUACUUAUUUUUUGAGAAACAAAAUGUGUGGGAUAGAGUAGUGUUGGUAUGUACUUUUAACAUAUAUAUAUUUGCUAGGACUUCGUCUGUGUUGGUGUUAGCUGGCUGGCGUGCUCUGCCUUUUUCAAACACCUUACACAAGGUCUUUGGCCUUUUUGGAGUGUUUUUUUUUUUUAAACUGACUGGAAAGCGCUCUGAGGGGGUGCCGUGCGUGUGUCGGCGAGCGCCGGCACAGACGGGAUCCAUACUUGUAUAGUUUAACUAACUUGUUACAAAUAACUACAAACUUGACUUUGGCUAAUCUUUGUAAGGCCAGACGAGAGAGAGAAAAAAAAAGAUUACUCACUUUUCUACUCUCACUUAAAAGUACACACUAACACUAAUCUUUUCCGGUUGUCCUUUUGAGGUACGGAACUCUAAAAAACCUUCAGAAAUACAAUAAUUUUGUAAAAAGAACAAGAAUAAGUUUGAGAUGGUGAUGGCCUUCAUAUGGUCGUAGCCAGUAAGCAAAGGUUGCAAUACGCGUAGCACUUGGGGGUUGUUUACUUCUCACCAUUCAAUGAAAUUUUCAUCGAAUUUUUCUUAAUAGCAGCAUAGGUCAAAGACAUUUUUGUUUGUAAUUUUUAUAAUUUUUAUCUGUACCCAAUAACUUGAUAUCUGAUGUUAUUCGCAAUAACUACUUGUAUUUUUCAAACUAUUCAUUUUAUUGAAUUUUCAACAUUAUUUUAAAGGCAUCUUUUCUACUAGGUAUUUAUUAAAAUAAAUGAUUUUAUAAUCCGACAUGCUUGACAGAAGAUAUUUUCCCAAUUUCGUAGCAAAAUGAAAAAGUACUAAAAUCGUGCAAUAUUGAUACACGGCCGCUAUAUCAGCAAGAGGUGCAAAAGCUGUCUUAGCCAUAGAAGUCGGUCGCAUCGGGCGCAUUUCAGAGCCUAUAUCUGCUGAUAUCAUCAAAACUUCUUCAGUGCGCUGGAUGCGGCCGACUCGUGCAUUUGCAUCCCUCGUAAACGACAAUGCCUUGCCUGCGGCUCGUGUCGUGGUCCAGUCGUCUCGUAAUAUUAUCGAGAUUAUCUUAUGUGUUUAAAUUAUAGUUGUGAAAAAGAUUUUGACUUCAUUAUCAUUUGUUAUAUUUGAUUGCUUCUUAAUGAAAAUACAAUAAAUAGGUGUCGGCAUUGUAGAUAUAUUGUACAGCAUUCUCAGAGGACUUGUCGUGUUAUUUUAAAGAACUAUUAACUGAAUUUCAAAACAUAUUGAAGUCCAGAAUGUAAGUUUGAACCAUAGACUAGACGAAAGUGAUAAAUUAAAGUCAUUGAUGUGGCAUAGACUCACUCCCACGCACUUCUUUUACUUUGGAUCCUUUUACGGCUCUUUUUCCUCUGUAGUUCAAACUUAUGUGGCGCGUGAGAAGUCAUUUUUUACGCAUUAUACCAAACUAAUAGAUUACGGAUAUGAAAUUUUUUAGUGCAAUUUCAUCUGCAAUCUCUUAAGAUAACAUGCAAAACUAAAAAAUAACGCGAUAAGACCUCCUUAUUUUUACCUAUCAGAGAUUAGGCAAUUAAGAGGACGAUUAUUAUAAAACUAUUUAUGAAAUGCAAUAGCAAGGAAAUAGGAACGAAUCGCUAGCAAUGGGUAACAUUUACCCGAGACGAAAUUUAUAUAGUGGUGUACAUUUUUGAUAUGAUGUUGUACAAAAGAGACAUUUGGUAUGUUAUUUUAUAGGAAUGAAUAAAUAGCCUUAAUAAACAAA